rnacentral:rRNA from 1 species
UACAGAGGGGGCAAGCGUUAUUCGGAAUUAUUGGGCGUAAAGGGCGCGUAGGCGGCUUGGCAAGUGGAUGGUGAAAUCCCUCGGCUUAACCGAGGAACUGCCAUCCAGACUGCUCUGCUUGAGGCCGGGAGAGGUGAGUGGAAUUCCCAGUGUAGCGGUGAAAUGCGUAGAUAUUGAUAGGAACUCCGGUGGCGAAGGCGGCAUACUGGACCACCUCUGACGCUGAGGCGCGAAAGCCAGGGGAGCAAACGGG